GGAUUUAAGGCAGAGCUCUCUUCAAACCAAUCGAGGGUAGAUUUGAAGGGUGAUCGAGCUGCUCGUUCAUGGUUCCCACUAUCCCAUCUCAUCAGAGACACUGACAGAGAUCGUGAAGGUAGCGAGAGAGAUGCUUGAGAUGGGCCUGUGGUUUGCAUGACCGAGGAGCUGCAUCGUCCCCUUUGUCGACCGCUCGUUGGAUUGAAGGGAGCUCUGCGUCUUCCUCCC
rnacentral:pre_miRNA from 2 species